GCUUAUUCCUCAUUUUCUCUUGCUGCCACCAUGUAAGAAGUGCCUUUUGCCUCCCACCGUGAUUCUGAGACCUCCCCAGGAAUGUGGAACUAAAAAGGAAGAAAGUCACCUGCUGGAUGUUCAACUGCAGAGAAGAACAAGUAGUCAAAGCCUGGUGUGGCAUAGGAAAAGAAAGGACAGGAUUUGGAAUCAAACUUGUGUUCCAGCAUGUCUCUGCCACUUCCCACACAUUCUUCAUCUCUUCUAGCUAUUUUGAAAUAUAUAACAAAUUAUUAACUAUAAUUUCCCUACUGUACUAUCAAAUACUAGAAAUUAUUCCUUCCACAUAACUGUAUUUUUGUAUCCAUUAACCAACAUCUCUUGACUUCAAGGAAUGAACCAAAUCAGUUCCCAAAUGUGCACAAAAACAGAUCCCUUGGUUCUAGUUUUCUCUUUUCUUUUCUAGGCUUACCUAACAUAUGAAGGUAAAUAGGAUCAAAACCCAAAUGGGUAUAGAGUGCUAAUGGUUUCUGUUAAUGUUAAUAUUCAUCAUCGUGAGUAGCCUGAGACAAGGGAUACUCAGCCGAUGCCAAAAAUAGAACGAGCUUGUCUUUACCAAACAGCAGCAUUACAUUUUAGAGCCUCAUCCCAGGCACAUGGUUAAUACUAAAGAUGCCAACCACAUCAGGAAGAGGCUGGAUAAAGGGAGAGCUCUUGUAAUUCUAUCCUUGGAAUAACAUCCAUUUAAAAUUAAAGAAUAGUUUAAAAAUUAAACUCUAAGAUGCAAUAUAAACAUUCCUAUGAUAAGGAAAUUUUGUAGUCUGGAAGAAAUUUUUAAGAUAUGUUUUAAAAAAUGAUUAUGGCCACAUCAAUUUAAAUUAGAUUGGGUAAUAGAAAACUCAGCUUUGUUCAUUACAGAGGGGGAAGUCAGGCAAAAGGAAGUACAUUAUAGUUAAAUGUAAUAUUUAGAGAAUAUAAUAAAAUAUCUGACAAUAUAUUCCUGGGUUUCAGAAGGAUUAUGUAUAAAUACUUUUGUAGGAUUUAAUAGUCUCACCAAGUAAAAUAUCGUAUUUGAAAAUAAGCAUAUUAAAAAUAAAAUGGAGUUUUCAAAAUAGUGAGCAUAAAAAACUAUUUGUAUAUAAGUCAAGUAAUGAUGCAAAAAAAAAAUUUCAUAAAUGAAUCAUCUGUCUAUACUUGUUUCAUUAAAGGAUAAUAUAUUGGAAUAUCAUUUCAGCAACAUUGCCAAAGCUUCCCAGAUUUGAUUUCAAUCCAAAAUUUGUAUCAGAACUCAGCACUUUAAAAACAAAGAAAAAAGGAAAAUUCAAUGCAGAUGUACAUUUCCAUGAUACUUAGUGCAUAAGACUAUAGUUGAAGCAUAUUUGUCAUCAUGGCAACCAGCCAACAAAAAAAAUAUUAGAGGAACAUGAAGACAAGCUGCAUAUUUCUGUACAAUCAUUCCAUAACUCAGAUUAUAGAGCAACAUAGUAACUUAAUGUAUAUUUAUAAUGAUAUAAUUAAAUCUUCCUUCCACAAGUUCUAUAGAAUCUGUCAGUAGAUUGGGGAAAGAAAAGCAGAUAAUGCAUUAAUCAAUCAUCAAAUGCUUAACAAUAUGCCUAACAAACCAUGUGGCUCUUUGUGUGAAUCAAAAAUA
rnacentral:lncRNA from 10 species